UUAAUUUAGUUUAUAAUACGUGUGUUAUGUGAGUGUGUGUGUGUGUGUGUGUGUAUGUAUGAGCUGAAAGGAGAUCCUCAAUUUCUUCAUAUGUCAAAGUGACCAGCCAGUUUGUUACUUUCAAUUUGCAUUCUCUAAAUGUCAAUUUAUAAAUUCCAAGUAGCCUAUUUAUUUUGUUAUAUAAUUUUGGGCUCAGAUAGUGAAAAAGCCGUCCUGCUAGUAGCUAUGAAACAUUUAUUACAUUUCAAAUAUUGUGAACGUGUUGAUAUUUGGUAAAACAAAAAAAUACUCUAGUUCCGGCCCGACGUUCGGCCUCAUAUCAGGCCUGAUAAAGUGUGGAUGUAAUUGGCACUUAAGCGCAUUCGACAAAAGGUACAGGUUUUUUUUUUUUUUUUUUUCAGGAGUUAAAAUUUGUCAGUUGAAGGUAAAGGGCCCUCGCUAUGAAUACGGGCGACCCUUUGCCCGCGGUGACAUGUGCGAAGUUUUCUUGUUGGUUAUUGAUGUCAAGUUUGGCAUCAUCAUCAAAAUGUAACAAUGAUGCACAAUUUAGCAACUUGACUUUGUUGCCAUUGUUUGUCUUUAAAGACAUAUGGUCCCCGCAAAGAUACGGGCGGCCAUAGGUCCAUAGAUCGCCGGCAAGCUCAUCAAUCAACUCUAGCACCGGAUGGAUGUUGGCACCGCGUUCUGUCGACGGUGUACGUGCUCGCUGAGCAUUGGUGCCCAGCGGUGAGGUGUAGAGUUGAUCGAAGUCUUCCAUAUUUAAAUUAAGGCUCUCGGUACUCAUUUUUACAAUAAAUCAAUUUAAAUCUUA